GACACGCUCCUUAGAUCCACCUCUGGAGGCCCUGUCUUGGGCCUCAGCAGCCUGUGCUGUACAGUCAAAGGUGCUUGAGUCAUUGGCAUGUGAGAGCAGUCCACCUGUUCCCCAGCCCGCGCCCCAUAGGCCCCUGUCCCAGAGACAGGACACACCUGUGGGGCUAGUCUGGGAGACAGACACU
ensembl:snoRNA small nucleolar RNA, H/ACA box 53